CCUUCGAUAGCUCAGCUGGAAGAGCGCAAGACUGUAAUGGGUUACAAAGCGAUCUUGAGGCCACUGGUUCGAUCCCGGUUCGAAGGA